rnacentral:rRNA from 1 species
UACAGAGGCCCCAAGCGUUGUUCGGAUUCACUGGGCGUAAAGGGUGCGUAGGUGGUUAGGUAAGUCCGAUGUGAAAUCUCCAGGCUCAACCUGGAAAUGGCAUUGGAUACUAUUUAGCUUGAGGAGUGGAGGGGGGACUGGAAUUCUCGGUGUAGCAGUGAAAUGCGUAGAUAUCGAGAGGAACACCAGUGGCGAAGGCGAGUCCCUGGACACUUCCUGACACUGAGGCACGAAAGCUAGGGGAGCAAACAGG